GUUCAAAACAACUUCAACAUUGUGACACUACAGUAAGACAUAAAAAUACGGUAAAAGGGAAAAUCAUCCGAACAUAAGCCCCGCCAGCACCAGUCCAAUCUCCCUCCUUGCUUAUCCUGCACGUUGAGAAAUACAUGCAGGGCGUGAGUAUAGAAUACUCAGUGGGCAUACGCCGAAAAACAAGAAAGUUGCUCUUAGAGCUAUAGAUUGAACUUGACACAUUAAGCAACACACACAGGGGUUUUAGUUUAAAAGAACCUAUGCAUGCAGUUUUAAUCAUAAACAUCAUAAAUAGGCGUCUGUAGACAAAGUACUCAUCAUGCAUGUACCGCAUCUACAACUCAUCAUCAUCAAAGGUACUGAGAAGUAGGCCAUCUUCUCAAGCACCGUGACCGGCCAACCCAAAAGACGGCUCGCAGUCACCUCUGUGUACACAAUCCCGCUUGUGGCAGGACCCGAAUUCAUCUCAUCUCAUCAGUAGAGGGCAAC
rnacentral:lncRNA from 1 species